rnacentral:rRNA from 1 species
AACGAGCGCUGGCGGCAGGCCUAACACAUGCAAGUCGAACGCCCCGCAAGGGGAGUGGCAGACGGGUGAGUAACACGUGGGAACCUUCCCUAUACUACGGAAUAGCCCAGGGAAACUUGGAGUAAUACCGUAUACGCCCGAGAGGGGAAAGAUUUAUCGGUAUAGGAUGGGCCCGCGUAGGAUUAGCUAGUUGGUGAGGUAAUGGCUCACCAAGGCGACGAUCCUUAGCUGGUCUGAGAGGACGACCAGCCACACUGGGACUGAGACACGGCCCAGACUCCUACGGGAGGCAGCAGUGGGGAAUAUUGGACAAUGGGCGCAAGCCUGAUCCAGCCAUACCGCGUGAGUGAUGAAGGCCUUAGGGUUGUAAAGCUCUUUUGCCGGGGACGAUAAUGACGGUACCCGGAGAAUAAGUCCCGGCUAACUUCGUGCCAGCAGCCGCAGUAA